GCGUGGCAGCGUCUGGGAUGGGUGCUGGCCUGAGUUGGGGACAGUAGUCGAUGGUGACUUAGCGGCUGCCGGGGCGUGCACUGCAGGGCCCUGGGUCCGCGGUGUACGGUUUGUGCACGCGCGUAUUUCAAGGUUUCAUGGUGUCAGGAGGCGACCCAGUGACACAGCCCCAACGAGGAAGAACGGAGCUCCAGGUCGCAGAGAAACCAUGGAGAGUGGUCCACACGGUCCAAAAUGGUGGCAAACAGCCUAUGGAGAGGCCCUGGCCUGCCUGACUUGGCUCUUGGGACCUGUCUGGAGCCACAGGGGCUGUGACUGGGACUUUGACCUGCCUAUGGCAUCCCUGGCCUGAGCUGCCUGUUCUCUGCGGCCCCAGAAGAGAAGAGGGAAUCAAAGAUGGAGUCCCCACGUCUAUAAGCCUGAGAGGACUCUUCCUAGUCAACAGAACGAAGUCCCCAAGGUCUUGUGCUCUGGCUCUCAGUGACAGCUUGGGAUGCUUUCUCUGUCUUAGCCAAACCUUCCCUCCCCAUCUCUGUGUCCUCUCUCCUCACCACUGACCCUGUCCUUCCAGCACCAGCCUUGCCUCCACCCAAGUCUCUAAAUUGCUCUCAAAGGUCUUUCCAUGAUACUUAGUAAUAAAGUAUCAGGGAAAACAAUC